UACACAAUGACGUUACACCCAGAAGAGAUGUCAUUGCGCUGUGCCAGGAGCACUUGUGUACAAAGCAUGCAUGCAAGGACAUCAUAGAGGACAACGAUGUAAUUUCUAGAAGUAACAUCAUCACACAUGGACCAGGAGUGUGUAUUCACAAAGACUGACGCCAAGACAAGACCAUUUUGGUUGACCACUAUUUUGUCUGUGGGCUCUGAUCCUACAAGAGGUUGCCUAGAAACUGUGCCAUGUACCUCCCAAACCUGUCCAACAAAUGCCUCUACAACUUUGCCAAGACGCCAUCUCUCCUGAAGCAAAAAUGUGCUUGCUCCAGCAGUUCCAGUCUUGCAAAGACAGUCCCUUGAAGAGUUGCAAUGAGGCGGAGGCUUCGCUACAACAAAAGAAGGAAUUGCCCUGGGAAAUUUAACUAAGGUCCUGGUGUAAGUCAAAUCUGGAGUAUAAGUUCAAAGUAAGCAGGUCACGUACACCAGGCCCAAAUUAUCAGGAGAUACAUCAGGCCCAAGAGUAAAUUGGCAACAUUGAGAUAACUGUCAGUUCUCCCAUACAAGGAGAUAGUUGUGUUGUAAUGUUUCUGUAGGUUCCUUGUUUCCACUCUCUUGGUUGCAAAAAGAUAUAAAAAGUGAUGAUGUGAUUUGCUCUGUGCUUCUGUGGUAGGAGACUCCCAGAGCCCGUACACAUUAAAUAAAGCUUCCUGGUUUAAAGAACAGAGUGGCUGUUUCCUGUUUCAGUCCACCAGGGAUAGCCUGGCUCGCUUCAAAAAACAAGUUCUCAGAACACUACCCCCUGGAAGUUCUCACUACUUGGAGAACAAAGUUUACCAUUAAAAAAAUAAUAAUAACUGAAAGCAAAAGGCUCAACCAUCUGGCCCUGAUGAGUGAUUCAGCAAAAGCGAUUGCAAGAAAAAAAAACAGCUCAGUGCAUUUUCACAAAUGAAACCUUGCAGUUAAUUCUACAUCACAUGCACACACAUAAAUUACUGUAUAUCAUGAUUUGCACACAAAAUUCUGUGUAAUAUGUACUCCUUGGCUGGGAGGUUCCCUGAAGCACAUACUGUGUUCCUAGGAGGAUUCACAAUUAUUGGUCUAAGCAGAAAGUGGUACCGCUGAGACACAUGUGUUUCCACAUGUCUUAUAUACAGCACUGGCUCUCUUUAACAGUAUAUUAAUAUAAAUAGUUUGGAAUAGCAUCUUUGCAUUUCAAAUCAUAGACAGCGAUGUAGCAAGUUUAUUAUAAUGCACUUGUCUUUCUUUGUAAUAUUUCUUUGUUCUGUAAAAUGCUUGUCACAUGUGACACCAGAAAUUGCAGUUUCAUACACUGUCUUGACAAGAGACACAAAGUUCCUAGGUACAAGAUAAAUCAAACGGAUGGUGUGGUUAGAUAAACAAGUGAACUUGGAGUUCAUGAUCUGAGCUCAGAAGAUAAGUAAACCUCGUGAUUUAUCACUACUCUUGCGUCAGUUUGCCUGCAGAAAGGUAUAUAAUGUGUCCCGAAACUCAUUGUGGGCACUUAGCACCCUCUUGCCUGUGCUAGAUCCACAACUGUGUCACCUUCAAUCUGUCUGUCUUUGUUUCUCUGUCUAUGUAUCUUUGUUUAUUCUGAGCUUGCUCCUG